rnacentral:rRNA from 1 species
CACGUAGGGGGCGAGCGUUGUCCGGAUUUAUUGGGCGUAAAGAGCUCGUAGGCGGCUUGUCGCGUCGUCCGUGAAAACCCACAGCUCAACUGUGGGCUUGCGGUCGAUACGGGCAGGCUAGAGUUCGGUAGGGGAGACUGGAAUUCCUGGUGUAGCGGUGAAAUGCGCAGAUAUCAGGAGGAACACCGGUGGCGAAGGCGGGUCUCUGGGCCGAUACUGACGCUGAGGAGCGAAAGCGUGGGGAGCGAACAGG